AUAUGGGGUUUUUACAAACAAGGCUACAAGUGUAAAGCCUGCGGGGUGAACUGUCAUAAAGCCUGCAGAAGUCGGCUGGCCGUAGAGUGCAGGAAGAGGACGAAGAGUAUCAGUCAUGAGACUCCACCAGCCCUUCAGGCCAGGUCCUACAGCUUCCCACCACCUGCCAAUAACCCCCCUAGCCUGCAGGAUACAGUUAUAGCUGAAGAAGACAUUGAGUCUGUCGAAGAGGGAGUAUUUGAUGUCCAUCUAUAACCAGGAGCCUUUAUCUAAAGAGAGGCAUCUAUGAACAGCCCUCUCCAUCACUAUAUCCCUGCAAAAGGCGACGUAUUUGAAGCUGAAUCAGAGAUGCAAGCCACUCGGAGGAAUGAAUCCCAGUUGUUAGUUUUAAAGCCUCAACAUUGAGGGGAACUCAUGCUGAACCCCAUCCAGGAAGCCUACACGCUGCCACAUGGUGGACUGAUCCUGGAACAGCACUCUUCUCUAUUUAAAUCGAUGAGGACGUUUGAUGUCCGUGGAAUGUGUAUGUUGAUUCAGUCCUCAAAAAGUUGUAUAGAAUUGUAUGCUUAAAAAAAAAAUCGAUCCAUACAAUUGUAUUUUCACAGUGAAACUUAAAAGUCAGUCUUGUUUUCUGCCUUGUGAGGUGUUUGUCUACUUUUCUCAAGAACAUUAAAGAGGUGCUGUUAUUGCCAAGAAUGUAAAGCUGUCACCUAGACUAAGCUAUUGUCUCCUUUUAUCUGAGAUGCUCUGUUUUUGUUUUCUUUCAUGCUGUUUUUGAAGUAUAUAUUUGAGUGGAGCCAUAACAAAGACCAAUUUUGAUGUCAGAUGAUAUAUUGUUGCUUUGUGGUUACCGUCUGGAGCAUGGUGACAAAAGCAUCUGCAGAAAAAAAAACUGUGCAGACACAUAUAAUUAGAAUGAGAAGAGACACUGAGUGUUGCUGCAUUUUUUUUGUGUGAUUUUUUUUCCUUUAGUAUCAGUGGCUGUACUGUAGUUACUGCCAUGCUGUUUUUAGUAUAUAGUGCUAUGAACCCAGCUGAUAUUAAGACACCCAACUAUCAGAUGAAGAAUCCAUCUAUCCUAGCAAAUACGUCGACAGCCCAGAGCAGGAGAUCGGCUUACGUCCCACUGAUUCCUCCCAUCACUGUCUGAAUGAGCUCCAGUGUUUCCAGCCUGCCAGGUUUUAAAGGAAUCAAAGUCACCCUAAUGAGGCUUUUUUUAUUUGACAGCAGCCAGUAGAAAAAUAUUCCUGAGAAUCUGUUUUAAUGUCACCUUUUUAUCCUGUAUGGUGCCUCCAAACAUUUCCGCAAAGUGGAAGUUUCAUCGUUUCUACCGUAGCAGGCCAAAGUAUAGCAUCAUUUCUGACAAAAUUCUUCAGUGUCUUUGUUUCUGUGGAGAUAAGUUCAAACUUUGAGCUGCAUUUUCCUAACAGCUGCUUUGUCAUGGAAUGCGACAACCUGUUUAUUUUAUUUGCUGCAUGAAUAGCUAAAGAGCAGAUGGUCCCUCAGUGUUUGAUCCCCACCUAACAAUGUGAUGUGUUGAACCAUGUUAUGCUGUUUUUCUGGUAUUUUUCAAAGCAUUCCUCAGUAUUAAUCGCAGCAAGCAAAGUGUUGUUGUGAAACUGUUUGUGACUAAU